GUCGCACGGAGCUUCGGCUCAGUGGCGGACGGGUGAGUAACACGUAGGAACCUGCCCGGAAGUGGGGGAUAACUCCUCGAAAGAGGAGCUAAUACCGCAUGUGGUCUACGGACCAAAGCAGCAAUGCGCUUCUGGAGGGGCCUGCGGUGGAUUAGCUAGUUGGUGGGGUAAUGGCCUACCAAGGCAACGAUCCAUAACUGGUCUGAGAGGACGGCCAGUCACACUGGGACUGAGACACGGCCCAAACUCC
rnacentral:rRNA from 1 species